AAACUGCGAAUGGGUCAUUAUAUAAGUUAUCGUUUAUUUGAUAGUGCUCAUCCUACAUGGAUAACAGUGGUAAUUCUAGAGCUAAUACGUGCAAACAGCCCCGACUUCGGAAGGGGCGUAUUUUUCAGACCCAGAACCAACGCCCUCACGGGCUCUCUGGUGGCUCAUGAUAACUCCACAGAUCGCACGGCCCUGCGCUGGCGAUGGCUCAUUCAAAUUUCUUCCCUAUCAACUUUCGACGGUACGGUCUUGGCCUACCGUGGUUGCAACGGGUGACGGAGGGUUAGGGCUCGACCCCGGAGAAGGAGCCUGAGAGACGGCUACUACAUCUAAGGAAGGCAGCAGGCGCGCAAAUUAUCCAAUCCCGACUCGGGGAGAUAGUGACAAUAAAUACCGAUACAGGGCUCUUUUGGGCCCUGUAAUUGGAAUGAGUACAAUUUAAACCUCUUAACGAGGAACAAUUGGAGGGCAAGUCUGGUGCCAGCAGCCGCGGUAAUUCCAGCUCCAAUAGCGUAUAUUAAAGUUGUUGUGGUUAAAAAGCUCGUAGUCGAACCUCGAGCCCGGCCGGCCGGUCCGCCUCACCGCGUGCACUGGUCUGGCCGGGCUCUUCCCUCUGCGGAACCGCAUGCCCUUUACUGGGCGUGUCGGGGAGGCAGGACUUUUACUUUGAAAAAAUUAGAGUGCUCAAGGCAGGCCAAUGCUCGAAUACAUUAGCAUGGAAUAAUAGAAUAGGACGUUUGGUUCUAUUUUGUUGGUUUCUAGGACCGCCGUAAUGAUCAAUAGGGACGGUCGGGGGCAUCAGUAUUCAGCCCGCGAGAGGUGAAAUUCUUAGACCGGCUGAAGACUAACUACUGCGAAAGCAUUUGCCAAGGACGUUUUCGCUGAUCAGGAACGAAAGUUAGGGGAUCGAAGACGAUCAGAUACCGUCGUAGUCUUAACCAUAAACGGUGCCGACUUGGGAUCGGGCGCUGUUCUCUCUAGACGCGCUCGGCACCAUUCGAGAAAUCAAAGUGCGUGGGCUCCAGGGGGAGUAUGGCGGCAACGCUGAAACUUAAAGAAAUUGACGGAAGGGCACCACCAGGGGUGGAACCUGCGGCUUAAUUUGACUCAACACGGGGAAACUCACCAGGUCCGGACACAAUGAGGAUUGACAGAUUGAGAGCUCUUUCUUGAUUUUGUGGGUGGUGGUGCAUGGCCGUUCUUAGUUGGUGGGGUGACUUGUCUGCCUAAUCGCGAUAACGAACGAGACCUUGACUGCUAAAUAGCACGCGCCGCCUCGGCGGCGCCGCGGCU
rnacentral:rRNA from 1 species